UUUGAGGUUCUAACCUUGAUCCGUGAAUCCGGAUCGGGGACCGUGCAUGGUGGGCAGUUUGACUGGGGCGGUCUCCUCCCAAAAGGUAACGGAGGGAGUACGAAGGUACGCUUAGGGCGGUCGGACAUCGCCCAUAAAGUGCAAUGGCAAAAGCGUGCUUGACUGCGAGACCCACAAGUCGAGCAGGUGCGAAAGCAGGUCAUAGUGAUCCGGUGGUUCUGUAUGGAAGGGCCAUCGCUCAACGGAUAAAAGGUACUCUGGGGAUAACAGGCUGAUACCGCCCAAGAGUUCAUAUCGACGGCGGUGUUUUGGCACCUCGAUGUCGGCUCAUCUCAUCCUGGGGCUGUAGCCGGUCCCAAGGGUAUGGCUGUUCGCCAUUUAAAGAGGUACGUGAGCUGGGUUUAAAACGUCGUGAGACAGUUUUGGUCCCCUAUCUGCCGUGGGGCGCUGGAAAUUUGAAGGGGGGCUGCUCCUAGUACGAGAGGAC
rnacentral:rRNA from 1 species